GCGGGCUGUGCAGGGGCAGUGAAGGGGGUGCACAGGGUGCUGUUGGGGUGCUCAGGGGUGCAGGGAGGUGCCCAGAGGAGUGCAGUGCCCUCCAAAAGGAUCCACACAGCGGGAUUGGGGUGCAGGACGCAGCUGGUGGCACUCCAGGGGUGCUGCCCAGCACAAAGCAGCCAUUGCCUUCACCCCAGCACUGCCCAGGCUGCCCUGACAAAGCUGGGCAGCAAGAGCUGGCCUUGAGCUGAAGCACAUGGGGGAGCAUCACCCCCUGACAGCAGCUGGAGAACCCCUUGAUGGAGAAUCCCAGAUCCUGAUUCCCUGAAGCCUGACUCAUGGAGUGCUGCGAGUUCGACGUGAAUCCUGGAGGAUUUUGCAUCUGGGAUGAUAAAUCCUCAUGGAGCUGCCUCUUGUAGCUGCCCAUGGCUCUUCCACAUCUUAAUAACAGUGCUGAUAAUAGGGGGGAAAAAGGAUGUGAAAUAAAGGUUAUCAAAAAGUC